GACGUAGGGGGCGAGCGUUAUCCGGAAUUAUUGGGCGUAAAGGGUGCGUAGGUGGCCUGACAAGUUAUCAGUGGCAAAUCGAGGCUCAACCUCGUGGAAACUGGUAAUACUGUUCGGCUUGAGUACAGGAGAGGUUAACGGAACUCUAUGUGGAGCGGUAAAAUGCACAGAUAUAUAGAAGAACAUCAAUAAAGGCGAAGGCAGUUAACUAUUCUGUUACUGACGCUGAGGCACGAAAGCGUGGGGAGCAAAACGG
rnacentral:rRNA from 1 species